GCCGCGCUAGCUUAGUCGGUAGAGCAUUCGGCUGUUAACCGAAAGACCAAAGGUUCAAGUCCUUUGCGCGGCGCCA
rnacentral:tRNA from 1 species